rnacentral:rRNA from 1 species
UACGGGGGGGCAAGCGUUGUUCGGAAUUACUGGGCGUAAAGCGUGCGUAGACGGUUACAUAAGUCGGGUGUGAAAGCCCCGGGCUCAACCUGGGAAUUGCAUUCGAGACUGCGUAGCUAGGGUGCGGAAGAGGGAAGCGGAAUUUCCGGUGUGAGCGGUGAAAUGACGUAGAUAUCGGAAGGAACACCAGUGGCGAAAGCGGCUUCCUGGUCCAGCACCGACGUCAGGCACGAAAGCGUGGGGAGCAAACAGG